UACGUAGGGCGCAAGCGUUGUCCGGAAUUAUUGGGCGUAAAGAGCUCGUAGGCGGUCUGUCGCGUCUGCCGUGAAAACCCCGAGGCUUAACCUCGGGCUGGCGGUGGAUACGGGCAGACUAGAGGUAGGUAGGGGAGAAUGGAAUUCCCGGUGUAGCGGUGAAAUGCGCAGAUAUCAGGAAGAACACCCGUGGCGAAAGCGGCUCUCUGGAACGGUACUGACGCUGAGACGCGAAAGCGUGGGGAGCGAACAGG
rnacentral:rRNA from 1 species